ACAGGAUUAGAUACCCUGGUAGUCCACGCCGUAAACGAUGUCGACUUGGAGGCUGUUCCCUUGAGGAGUGGCUUCCGGAGCUAACGCGUUAAGUCGACCGCCUGGGGAGUACGGCCGCAAGGUUAAAACUCAAAUGAAUUGACGGGGGCCCGCACAAGCGGUGGAGCAUGUGGUUUAAUUCGAUGCAACGCGAAGAACCUUACCUACUCUUGACAUCCACGGAAUUUGGCAGAGAUGCCUUAGUGCCUUCGGGAACCGUGAGACAGGUGCUGCAUGGCUGUCGUCAGCUCGUGUUGUGAAAUGUUGGGUUAAGUCCCGCAACGAGCGCAACCCUUAUCCUUUGUUGCCAGCGAUUCGGUCGGGAACUCAAAGGAGACUGCCGGUGAUAAACCGGAGGAAGGUGGGGAUGACGUCAAGUCAUCAUGGCCCUUACGAGUAGGGCUACACACGUGCUACAAUGGCGCAUACAAAGAGAAGCGACCUCGCGAGAGCAAGCGGACCUCAUAAAGUGCGUCGUAGUCCGGAUCGGAGUUUGCAACUCGACUCCGUGAAGUCGGAAUCGCUAGUAAUCGUGGAUCAGAAUGCCACGGUGAAUACGUUCCCGGGCCUUGUACACACCGCCCGUCACACCAUGGGAGUGGGUUGCAAAAGAAGUAGGUAGCUUAACCUUCGGGAGGGCGCUUACCACUUUGUGAUUCAUGACUGGGGUGAAGUCGUAACAAGGU
rnacentral:rRNA from 1 species